AAGCACCUCUACAUUCACAAUGGGUCCCUUUGUGAGUCGGUAAAAAGUACAGCGGAUGAAGUGUCGGGGUUGGAUAAUAAGUCGCAUGGUCCCAUUAUUUCAUGGGGUGUAUCACAGACCCCAUGGCAGAAGGAAGGAGAAGACGGCAGAGCCAUGGUGUGGCUUCGAUUCAGACAGAGCAUGCAUCCACCCCACGAGGUUUUUCACUGAGGAAAGCAAGCCAUAUGCCAAUUUCUACAGUCAAAAUACUGCUGCCAGGAUGGUGAUAAUGACAAGAUGGAGCUGAUUAAAGGAAGGCAAGGGAGGUCCGUGUGGUGUGCCAGGCCACUUCAGAAACAAGCAUUCCAGUAAGGCGUGUACGAGCUCCUGUCGGAAGCAGGAACGAUUUCACGGCCCCUCUUGCAUAUUAAUGAACUGCACGUAACCCCAGCUUCUUGGUACAGAUGCAGCCUUUCGGGAGCUGUGCCAGAAUGUAGCGAUAAAUACCAGCUCGAGGGGAAAUACAUUUCAUGAUAGAAUUAGGAGAGCAGCCAUCUGAGACGUCCACAGAAACCAGCCCCCUUCCAAGAAGUGCUGGGAUUGGAGAUACGUACCUGCCUUUGUGUUAUUUUGCUGACCUGCUUGCACUCUAACUGGAUUCUCUGCUCUGUCACUGGUCUUUAUGAGUUGAAAGGAAGAACCCAACCACAGAAUAGAAGCAAUGGACCAAAUCUCCAAAGGCUGGAGGUGGCACAGUUAUCGCAGCAGGAUGCUUUUGAUUCUGGGUCGUGGAGCAGCUUUUUGGAGGAGCCUGAGAGCGAGGCUCCAUUCUCUCCUCUACUUUGAGGCCACCUAGUGAGAAGGCUGUGGUGUUAUCGUGCCAGGGAAUGCCAACUGGCAGUAAAAGAAGCAAGCUACCUACCGCUCUCCACAAACGAAUCAAUCAGUCAAUCAUUUCGAAUCUACAAAGCAAGAUUCAGAAGACAACAUACCCUGAAAUGCCCCUAUGGAUCUUUUUGUACAGCUCAAAUCGAAGCAAAUUUGAAUAACAUAUUUCACGUGUAUGCGGGUCUAUAAUUCUAAAUAGUGAUAAAAGAAAGGCGGUGGUGAAUGCUGAGAUUGGGACGUGUUGAUUUUAAAGGAAGUCGAGAGGACAGGCCAGAAGGAGAUUGCUGUGAAACAGGCUAUGUCAGGUAUUAGUUUGGUAGGGCUGCCUAAAAAACCCGCUCUGUACUCAGUGGCUUAAUCAACAGAGCUUUCUCGGCUCACAUUUUCAAAGGAGGCUGGAAUUUCUAAAUUUCUUGUGUCUCUUUACCUCGUUUGACUACCUUUAUAUUCAUUCUCCUUUAAUAUAGGACCCCCAUGUCACAGGCUAUGACAGAGCCUGUGGUGGUUUGAGGGAGAAUGGCUCACAUGGGCUCCCUCCUAUGCCUGACUGCUUGGUCAGUGCUUGAUGGGCAGUUUAAAAAGGAUUGGGGGUGUGGCCUUGUUGGAGGGAGUGUGUUGCUACAGAUAUGCUUUGAGGUUUCCAAAACUCAUUCUAGAUUCAUUACCAUGAAUUCUCCUUGUUUCCUGCUUGUGGAUCAGAGGUAAGCAUUCAGCUACUGCUCCUAGCACCGUCAUGGCCGCCUGCUGCCUUAUGGACUCUCUGCCAUAAUGGUUAUGGACUCUCACCCUUUGAAACUGUAAGCAAGCCCUCAAUUAAAUGCUUUCUUUUUU